rnacentral:lncRNA from 1 species
CAGCACCAAUAGGUCACCACGCGCCUGGAGUUGGACGACGCGACUGAGGCGCGGCAGUUCGACCGGGAUGGCGGGAUGCGCUCAGCGAAAUCUACGAGGUAGCGUAGCACGCGAGUCUUCAGGCGAGGGGAAAAACCCCCCGCCCCGCCCCGCCCCCGCGUUGGUCCUAGGCCACGACAACUUCGCCCCCACAUCCAAUCUCGGUGCCUGAUGCCUUGAGGCAAGCAGGGGGACCGGGACCGGACCCCAUGGCGGCGGUGGCGGUGCUCGACUCCUUCAUCAAGCGAUGCACGGCGUCAAAGGAGGACUUCGGCGGCCAGCCCAGCCAGAGAAGGCCUGCUUCCUUCUCGGCAUCGGGUUCGAGUUCGACAUCAGGGGCCUCCUGGCCACACACCAAUCACCUCAUCCCUAACAACGCCGCCGGACUUACCUACGCGGCGCGCGACUACGGCGGCAGCGACCCGUUUGAGGGGUUUCGCGACGCGGUGCUGGGGCCGAUAACUCAGAGAAUUCGGAAGAAGGAAGGAGAGUUCAGAGGAAGAAAGGACGAAGGAGACGAGGAAUAGUAUUUCUGCCAAAACAUUCGGUAAGUCCUUUGGCAUUUGAAAAAGUGCUCGUUCAAGAAAUGAGACUGCUACCGGCCUGAGAACCCACGUUGCAUUCUGAGUUACUUUGCCGCUUUUACUGGUUUGGCGUUUAGGUGUUUUUGGUCUCCUAGAAGAAGUCUAUGCUGCAGCGUUUCUGCAUGUACUCGGCCAGCAACUGGCCGUCGAGUCCGACGGCCACCUCGCAGCCGACGUGGAGCGGGUGCCAGUGCCGGUUGCCCCAGAACGCCAG